rnacentral:rRNA from 1 species
UACCGAGUGGCGGACGGGUGAGUAACGCGUGGGUAACCUGCCUCAUACAGGGGGAUAACAGUUAGAAAUGACUGCUAAUACCGCAUAAGACCACGGUACCGCAUGGUACAGUGGUAAAAACUCCGGUGGUAUGAGAUGGACCCGCGUCUGAUUAGGUAGUUGGUGGGGUAACGGCCUACCAAGCCGACGAUCAGUAGCCGACCUGAGAGGGUGACCGGCCACAUUGGGACUGAGACACGGCCCAG